GCAAGUCGAACGAGAAAGCUCUUCGGAGUGAGUACAGUGGCGCACGGGUGAGUAACGCGUAGGUAACAUACCUUCUAGUGGGGGACAACAUCGUGAAAACGGUGCUAAUACCGCAUAUUUUGGAUGAAAUUGGAAAAAUUCAACAAAGGUGGCUUCGGCUAUCGCUAGAUGAAUGGCCUGCGUAGCAUUAGCUUGAUGGUGGGGUAAUGGCCUACCAUGGCUACGAUGUUUAACUGGUCUGAGAGGAUGAUC
rnacentral:rRNA from 1 species